AGAGUUUGAUCCUGGCUCAGGACGAACGCUGGCGGCGCGCCUAACACAUGCAAGUCGAACGAGCGAGAGAGAGCUUGCUUUCUCGAGCGAGUGGCGAACGGGUGAGUAACGCGUGAGGAACCUGCCUCAAGGGAGGGGGACAACAGUUGGAAACGACUGCUAAUACCGCAUAAGCCCACGGGUCGGCAUCGACCAGAGGGAAAAGGAGCAAUCCGCUUUGAGAUGGCCUCGCGUCCGAUUAGCUAGUUGGUGAGGUAAUGGCCCACCAAGGCGACGAUCGGUAGCCGGACUGAGAGGUUGAACGGCCACAUUGGGACUGAGACACGGCCAGACUCCUACGGGAGGCA
rnacentral:rRNA from 1 species